rnacentral:rRNA from 1 species
CAGCAGCCGCGGUAAUACGUAUGGGGCGAGCGUUAUCCGGAAUUAUUGGGCGUAAAGAGUUCGUAGGCGGUCCUUUAAGUCAGAAGUGAAAGGCAGUGGCUCAACCAUUGUAAGCUUUUGAAACUGAGGGACUUGAGUGUUGGAGAGGAAAGCGGAAUUCCUAGUGUAGCGGUGAAAUGCGUAGAUAUUAGGAGGAACACCAGUGGCGAAGGCGGCUUUCUGGACAAAAACUGACGCUGAGGAACGAAAGCGUGGGGAGCGAACAGGAUUAGAUACCCUGGUAGUCCACGCCGUAAACGAUGAGUGCUAGGCGUUGGAGUAGCGAUACUUCAGUGCCGCAGCUAACGCAUUAAGCACUCCGCCUGGGGAGUACGGUCGCAAGACUGAAACUCAAAGGAAUUGACGGGGGCCCGCACAAGCAGCGGAGCAUGUGGUUUAAUUCGAAGCAACGCGAAGAACCUUACCAGGUCUUGACAUCCCGAUGACCGGUCUAGAGAUAGGCCUUUCUCUUCGGAGACAUCGGUGACAGGUGGUGCAUGGUUGUCGUCAGCUCGUGUCGUGAGAUGUUGGGUUAAGUCCCGCAACGAGCGCAACCCUUAUCUUUAGUUG